rnacentral:lncRNA from 1 species
AUUUUCUUCAUCUAGUUCUUGAAUGAUGUUAGCAUGGAAGGGAGUGGAGCUUAUGAGGAGGUGCUCACUUAUUUUUCUUAUUUAAUUAAAUGCAAUGGUUUCAUAAUCCAAUCUGUUUUAUGACCAUAAUUACAAUUAUGAUUUCAAUUCCAAUUUGUUUUUAUGAUACUCCAAUUGAGGCCCGUUUAACGACAUUCUGCUCUUAUUUCUGCAUCUUAUAUAAAAAUAAUUUGAGGAAGCUCAUGCUGAAAAAUAAAUAAAUAAAUUUAUCAAAAAUUAUUUAAAAAUAUUCAAAAACAGUUUCUUAAUUUUAGAAAUAACUUUUGACUUUUCAAAAGUUAACGGCCUCAGACCCUUCCAAUUCUGUGCAACGUUUAUAAGUCUUGAUUAAAAUUUGCCAAACUAUUUGUUAGGUGAAAUAAUCUGUAACAGUAGUUUCAUAAGAAACCUAACUAAUAUAAACGAUUUUGCUCAAUAUCUCUUUUUUUUUUUUUUUUUUUUUUAUCGAAAUUGUUUCUUAAUCUGUGAUUUCAAAUGUCUUCGUAAAUUUCAUAAUAUCGUUAAAAAAUUCUAAUUGAUCUAAACUAAUGUCUCAUUUUCUGCUAACAUAAUUAUAGAAUACUGAAGAUGGACAGAAGGACUUGAGAAGUAGAGGGCUGUGCUUGGUUCCAGUUUCUUGCACUCAGCACGUGGGAAAUGACAUUAAUGGAGCUGAUUAUUGGGCGCCGGCUCUUGGUGGUGGAUUUUGAUUCUGAUUUAUUUUCUGCCACCAAAACCACCGCCUCGUGGUGGAGCUAGCUCUAACAUCAGAAGCAGUCAGUCUCCAAGCAAGGUUGACUGCCACUGAUGCUACCAUUCAUUCUGAUAGAGAAGAAUUCAAGAAUGAAGAAGCCUUUCUGCUUUUAAGGAAAACAAUAAUGACCUAGAUUGCCAUGUAUAUAUGCAUUUUAGCUUUAAUUGGCACCAUUGAAUAUCUUCACCUCAAGCUCUUUGCUUUAUUAAAUUUAUGGAAACCCAAUUAUCCAUUUGUUUUUCAAGGAUGAAUGCUGUGUUUACUACACAAA